AAUCAACGCUGGCGGCGUGCCUAACACAUGCAAGUCGAACGCGAAAGCCCGCAAGGGUAAGUAGAGUGGCGCACGGGUGAGUAACACGUGGACAACCUGCCUUCGAGUGGGGAAUAACCUUCCGAAAGGAGGGCUAAUACCGCAUAACACCUCGGGACACAAGUUCUGGGGUUGAAAAGAGCAAUUUGCUCGAAGAGGGGUCCGCGCCUGAUUAGCUAGUUGGUGAGGUAACGGCUCACCAAGGCUUCGAUCAGUAGCCGUCCUGAGAGGGAGCACGGCCACACUGGAACUGAGACACGGUCCAGACUCCUACGGGAGGCAGCAGUGGGGAAUUUUUGGCAAUGGGCGAAAGCCUGACCAAGCAACGCCGCGUGGGUGAUGAAGUAUCUUGGUACGUAAAACCCUUUCGGCAGGGACGAACCUAAUGACGGUACCUACGGAGAAGCCCCGGCUAACUCCGUGGCAGCCGCCGCGGUAAU
rnacentral:rRNA from 1 species